GAAUGACUUGCUCCAUGUAAUCCGAAAUUAUUCGCGUACAGACACUUGGAGUAAAGCAGACAAGGGCGAUAAGUACAGCUGCUAAGCUACAGCCUUAUCUUUACGUGUAUGAGGAAAGCCGCCUGAAUUUCUUUUCCAAAUAUGUUAUAAGUAUAGUAGUGCCUUUUUACAUAUCAUCACAGCUUCACAUGUCCUUUGAAAAACUUCGCAGCGAUAUGUUGAAUAUCUUGAUGUUAAUGAUCCUUGCGGAUUUUAUCCACAAGAGGGUUGAUUUUCAUCUUACCGCGAGAUGCAAUUCGACAUUGUCCGUUGCCGGAGGUUGUUAUUGCAGGUGAUCGAGUCAUGAGUAUGU
rnacentral:lncRNA from 1 species